rnacentral:rRNA from 1 species
AUCAACGCUGGCGGCGUGCCUAACACACGCAAGUCGCACGAGAAAGGGUAGCAAUACCUGAGUACAGUGGCGCACGGGUGAGUAACACGUGAAUCAUCUACCUUCGAGUGGGGAAUAAACUGGGAGAAAUCUCAGCUAAUACCGCAUAAAAACCUACGGGUCAAAGCAGCAAUGCGCUUGAAGAGGAGUUCGCGGCAGAUUAGUUAGUUGGCGGGGGUAAUGGCCCACCAAGACGAUGAUCUGUAUCCGGCCUGAGAGGGCGCACGGACACACUGGAACUGAAACACGGUUCCAGACUCCUACGGGAGGCAGCAGUGGGGAAUUUUUGCGCAAUGGGGGGAAACCCUGACGCAGCAACGCCGCGUGGAGGAUGAAAUCCCUUGGGAUGUAAACUCCUUUCGAUCGGGACGAUUAUGACGGUACCGGAAGAAGAAGCCCCGGCUAACUUUCGUGCCAGCAGCCGCGGUAAUACGUAGGUGGCAAGCGUUGUCCGGAUUUACUGGGCGUAAAGCGCGCGUAGGCGGUUUUCGCAAGUCCGUGGUGAAAUCUCUCGGCUUAAACCGAGAGGGGUCUGCGGAUACUGCGGGACUUGAGUGGCGUAGACGAAGAUGGAAUUCCGGGUGUAGUGGUGAAAUGCGUAGAUAUCCGGAGGAACACCAGUGGCGAAGGCGGUCUUCGAGGCGCUAAACUGACGCUGAGGCGCGAAAGCGUGGGGAGCGAACCGGAUUAGAUACCCGGGUAGUCCACGCCGUAAACGAUGGGCACUAGGUGUCGGGGGUAUCGACCCCCCCGGUGCCGCAGCUAACGCAUUAAGUGCCCCGCCUGGGGAGUACGGCCGCAAGGCUAAAACUCAAAGGAAUUGACGGGGGGCCCGCACAAGCAGCGGAGCGUGUGGUUAUUAAUUCGACGCAACGCGCAGAACCUUACCUGGGCUUGACAUGUUCCGGAAUGUCGGUGAGAGGCCGGCAGCCCUUCGGGGCCGGUACACAGAUGCUGCAUGGCUGUCGUCAGCUCGUGCCGUGAGGUGUUGGGUUAAGUCCCGCAACGAGCGCAACCCUCGUCGCUAGUUGAAUUUCUCUAGCGAGACCGCUGCGCGAAACGCAGAGGAAGGUGGGGAUGACGUCAAGUCAGCACGGCUCUUACGUCCAGGGCUACACACACGCUACAAUGGGCGCUACAAUGGGUUGCCAAGUCGCGAGGCGGAGCUAAUCCCAUCAAAGGCGUCCUCAGUUCAGAUCGCAGGCUGAAAAACCCGCCUGCGUGAAGGCGGAGUUGCUAGUAACCGCAGGUCAGCACACUGCGGUGAAUACGUUUCCCGGGGCCUUGUACACACCGCCCGUCACGUCAUGAAAGCCGGGUAACACCUGAAGUCGCUGGGCUAACCUGCAAGGGAGGCAGGCGCCGAGGGUGGGACUGGUGAUUGGGACG